CAGCAGCCACGGUAAUACGAAGGGUGCAAGCGUUAAUCGGAAUUACUGGGCGUAAAGCGCGCGUAGGUGGUUUGGUAAGAUGGAUGUGAAAUCCCCGGGCUCAACCUGGGAACUGCAUCCAUAACUGCCUGACUAGAGUACGGUAGAGGGUGGUGGAAUUUCCUGUGUAGCGGUGAAAUGCGUAGAUAUAGGAAGGAACACCAGUGGCGAAGGCGACCACCUGGACCGAUACUGACACUGAGGUGCGAAAGCGUGGGGAGCAAACAGGAUUAGAUACCCCUGUAGUCCCUGUCUCUUAUAC
rnacentral:rRNA from 1 species